ensembl:miRNA
AGAAAUGCCUUCAUGAGAUACAGCUGUAAGGCAUUUUUUCAAGUAGUGGUCAAGGGGGAAGGACAAGCCCGUUGUGGGUGGUGCCAUUCCUGGGCUGGUGGUCUUG